GUUGAGGACACGGGCAGGACAUGUUGCAGGUCAACAGUCCAGAGUCUCUAACCCAGCACCCAGGCUCUGUAGUCAGAGUAACAGUUCCAUGACUGGUCUUCGCUAGGAUGCCUCUGAAUUAUGGGUGGAAAAUUCCACUCUAAUCAUGCAGUUUAACACAAGGGGUUAUUAUUUUAUUUGAUACUUGCAUACAAAAUUAUGGAAGCCCGUUUCCGCCAGGGAGUAAAAAAAAAACUCGCUAUGGUAUCUCGCGAUUGCGACUUAAAAACUCAGAAUUCCGACUUUAUAUCUCAGAAUUGCGACUUAAAAACUCAAAUUAAUUAAACGAUUUUUUUAUGGAAUCCCAAUUCCGCCAGUGAGGCUUCCAUAGUACCCGGAAGGAAUAGUGGACGGUGGGCUUUUUAAAAAAGGUUUUCAAAAAGUCGCAAUUGCGAGAUAUGAGGUUGUAAUUCUGAGAUACUUAGUCGCAAUUGCGAGAUACCAUAGCACGUUUUUUUUUUCCAAACAAAAUAGAGGUAGCCUAAAUGAUGCAAUCUUCAUUUCUUUUAAGCAAAGAAAAAUACUUCCUGGUUGCCCUUUUCGUUGAACACAGCAUCUGACUGAAGACUCUUCGUCUUGAGUUUGUGAUCAGGGCAAAAACAAAAAAACACUGUGUUCAUGUAUCGAGUUGAGACGCAAGAAACGCCGCUUUGUAUGAGAGUCAGGUUGUAUAUUGUAGCGGAUUCGCCCCGGGCAGCGCGGUGAGGGGCAGGGCAGGAGUGAUAAUGGUCAGGUCGGGGUUUAGGAAGCUGCCCUGUUCAGCUGUCCCACAGUGAAACGGGCGUACAGUCUGAUCGGUGCUCUGUCGUUCAUUCACAACAUCGCCUUUCAUUCGCGAUGGAGAGCCUGCUCCUGCGUCGGUCUUUACUUUUCCUUGUGCUCCACUGCGGUACUUCAGGUUGGUUUGGAGUCAGUCCUGUGGUGAGACAGAAGUUGUGUGAGGAGAUGAGGAAGGGGGACGUGUAUGUGAUCGGGACGGAGGAGGAGGCUGGCAUGGGCCUGGACUCCUGUGACCAAGACUGGUCUUCGGUGUCGGCCUUAGAGAACAACUCCAUUCAGCUGGCUUAUUUUUACAACUCCACUGCAGAAUUCAUGAGCCCAGUGGUGCAGCUGUCUCAGCGCAAGAUUGUCCUGGAUGCGUGCGUAAGCAUCGCCCUGCACCUCGAGUGCAGCAAGAAGGAGUACUUUUUCCGCUUUUUAGUCACUGAAGAGCCCAAAAGGAAACUACGCUUCCUUGGUUUGUGGGUUGCUGGUGUGGUUGCCGUUCUGCUCAUUAUUGGAGUGCUGUCCUUGGUCACAUUCAACAAGUUCAGACAGGCAGGGUGAGUACUGAUGGAAGGACAUGCAGUAAUUUGGUGUCAUCGUACAAACAGGUAGGGUCAUUCGUCCAGGCUAUCUGGGUUACUUGCUAUAAGUGUAACGAUCAGUUCUUUCCAGACCCUGUGCGGACGACACAAUCCAGAAUUGUGAGGAAACACUGGGGAAAAAGUCAUGCAGGAAUAUGGGAAUGAAAACAGGGGGGGUGUCCAAAGUGCGCUGGUGCACGGGGGAGGUGUGGCCGAGGCAAACAGUCCAGAAGAAAUCCAAAACGAAAGCAAAGGUCCAUGGCCGUGUAAUCCAUCCGAAAACCAGGGAUUAAAAACAGGUGCCGGGUCGGGACCGGCGGAGGGAACAGGCGCAGGGAGCUAAAAACAUAAUGGAGCCAGGCGCCACGAGGACCCGGGCUCACACGACGCGGAGAUCAGGUGCAGAGCCUCGAGUGAAGUGAGUGAACUGAAACAGGGUGGAAACAAGGAACAGGUGCGGGGAAAAGGCAAACGAUGAAGGGCUGGAGCACCCUGAAGAGGAGAGGUUUGCGAUCGUGACAAUAAGAUAAUUGUUCUGAAGCCCUCCUGCAGCCGGUUCUUUAAAGAAGCUUGUCCAGACUAAAGCAGUAACUUCAAGAGCCUGCAUCUUUCCAGGGCUGGUGUCAUGAUCGUAAUCCCUCCUUUUAAGGGCGCUCCGGCUCUUUUGUAUUUCUCUAAUUCCGUGCACCUGCCCCCAGUCCUGCCUUUCCUUAUUUAAGCCGGGCACUCUCGCUUCUCUGGGCUCUGCACUGGAAGACAGACCCCCAGAGGUCCGCCUACCACCCUACGCCUGUGGCCUAAGGGCACAGGCCUCCUAUCGCCGUCCUGACCUGCUGAGUCCGGGGCUCAGAGCGCCUGGCCUCGUCAUCCUGCUUUUAUUUCCCUGUCCCUGUACUGGGUCCCAUUUCAGUUUUUAAUUCUGUUUUGUCCCAUCUCGGUUGGAUCACCCAGGUUUGGACUUUUGGACUUCAUACCGGAUUUCCCUCCUGGACUCCUUGGACUUGUUCGCCCUGGCUACGCCCCCCGAGCACCAGCUCACCAUCGUCACGCCCCCCUGUCUGUCACCCCCUCCUGAUCCAUGUCGUCCUUUUCCACUUGCUCCCGGAUGAUACCGUCUGCACAGGGUCCAGAAUUACGCUUCGCAUUACAGCUGGGGGCUGGAGACAGUGCAUUCAGAUCUACAGGUACUUGCUGGAGUAGACAGUACGCACAACCCCUCAGGAUCUUUUAAAUAACAUAACGGAACAAGUGGAAAACGUGAAUGGGACUGGACUGGAAAAAGUGAAGGACUUGAUUCUGAAUCGGUAAUUUUGAAGGAGAAAAAAAUGAAUCUGUGUGUUUUCACAAAACCUCAAGCUGUAUGUACAAUUUAGUUAUUUAUUAGAUGUAGCAGAAAAGCUACUACAGCUUUUAAAGAUUUAGGAUUUUAAGAUGAUUUAAAAUAUGUUGCCUUGAACCAUAACCCUGGCACUGCUUCUUUUAUUCAAGCCCUCAGGAAUGCAUCUGAGAUGAUGAGCGGUAGGUCCUUACUAUCACAAACCAGGACAUUCUUAAAUGAGUCGGUUCCUGAUUCCUCCAGAGAUGAAAUACUCUACAACAGAGCCACGUUGAAGGACCUGCAGGGUGGGCAAGCACAGGACACCUGAUGAAGUCACAGCCAAUCACCAACAGUGAUUAUACAGAAGAAACAUUGGUCAUCUCCAAAACACAGUGACCAGGAACCUGGCCAAAGGAACUGGACACAGGCAGACCUGGCUGUCCAGAGAGGACAGGCCCAGUGACCACAGCCUGGCCAAAGGAACUGGACACAGGCAGACCAGACAGGCUGUGCUCUCAGUGACAAUGAUGCACUUCCUACUGCACUGUGAGAAAUACCUUGGGAUUAGAGAAACAUUCUUCCCUUAAAUAACUAAUCUAAAUCCAGAAUUCCCACACCUGCCAGAAUCACAACAACUCCCAGUCUUACUGGGAAAGCGGGGAGGGAAAUUAACUGGGCUGCAUCCCAGUAUGUUCGUAUAUUUCUGUUACAGCCUGAAGAACAGAGAGCUUGUCUCUCAAUAAUACAGUGUGUGAACUCCUAUCCCAGCCUGAGGAACAGACAAGGAGCCUGUUAGAUAGUAAUGCUUUAUUAACUGUCCAGUGUUAUGAAAUGUAAAUUGUUUUCACUUUAGUAACAAUGUCCUUCACCAGCCAUGCCAAACAGGCUCUUCGACUGUGAACGAGAAACAGAGGAGACGCUGAAAGAAGGAACAUCGUCACCCUUCUCUUUCUCUGAGCUGCUGCCACGUGAGAGGGCCGUGUCCUGAUCUUCCUUGGACACCAGAGUCUGGCUCAGUGAUCCGGACAUGAUUGUAGGGAUAUUGCAGUCCUGUUGGUUUGGGGAAGAUCCUGUAGUGAGUUCCUCAGACUAAAUACAAUAUGUCCUAGUUUGAGGAUGCCUCUGAAAUGCAAAAUUCAGUAUGCAGAUAUUUAUGAUUUUGAUUAAUGCUUUGUUAUUUUGCCUAUAAAAACAUUUGUUCUAUUGAUCAAUAAGGUGAUACCGUGUCAUGGCUGCAAACUUUAUGGUAGCGAAAUGUGAAAACUGCACAGGUCAUACCUCACAUCACAGUGGCCUCUAUAGUAUUUUCCUGUAAGUGUGUGGCAAGUUGUUCCCUCUUCUUUCACUCUGACACCACUCUGAUCCAGGAACAAUGUACCCCUGUAACCCUGUUCAACAUUUGCUGAGUAGCUGGGUGUUUUGUAUUAACAGUUAUUUAUUUGCUCUUCUUUUCAAAAUAAAAUAGUACUGCAAUUCACCGCUUUAACUGUGCAGCAGGAUGGGUCUUCCCUUGGUCACAGUGCGCGUAAAACCCAGGGAUGGGUUGCGGCGGGGAGGUGUAAGUCCCCCUCUUCACAGCAGCCUGUGUAGAUACAGCAGUAGAGGGAGCUGCUGCCUUGUGCAACACCGGAUAAACACCAACAGACUCGGACGCUCUU
rnacentral:lncRNA from 1 species